CCGAGUUUACAACUCCCAGACCCAAUGUGAACAUUACCUUGACGUUGCCUCGGCGGGACCGCCCCGGCGCCCUCACCGGCACCGGAACCAGGCGCCCGCCGCAGGGACCCAAACCUCUGUUUUAUUAUGAAUUCUCCUCUGAGUGGAUUUUAUACAAAUAAAUCA
rnacentral:misc_RNA from 1 species